UUUUAAGUCCAAUCUGCCCAAUGAAUAAAUUUAAAUGGCUGCAGUAUAAAUAACUGUACAAAGGUAGCAUAAUAAUUUGUUUUUUAAUUAAAAACUAGAAUGAAAGAUUUAAUGAAAUAUAUACUUUAUUAAAAAUAAAAAUUUAAAUUUUUAUUUAAGUAAAAAAACUUAAAUAAAAUUAAUAGACGAUAAGACCCUAUAAAAUUUAAUUAUUAAAAUUAAUUAAUUAAUUAUUAUUAUUUAUAUAAUAAAUUUUAAUAAUUUAAUUGGGGUAAUAAAAAAAUUAAAUAAACUUUUUUAAAAAUUAACAUUAAUUUAUGAAUUAAUAAUCUUUUAAUAAAAAAAAUAAAAUUAAUUACUUUAGGGAUAACAGCAUAA
rnacentral:rRNA from 1 species